rnacentral:rRNA from 1 species
CCUACGGGGGGCAGCAGUGGGGGAUAUUGCACAAUGGGGGAAACCCUGAUGCAGCGACGCCGCGUGGGUGAAGAAGCGCCUCGGCGCGUAAAGCCCUGUCAGCAGGGAAGAAAAUGACGGUACCUGAAGAAGAAGCCCCGGCUAACUACGUGCCAGCAGCCGCGGUAAUACGUAGGGGGCAAGCGUUAUCCGGAUUUACUGGGUGUAAAGGGGGCGCAGACGGCGAUGCAAGCCAGGAGUGAAAGCCCGGGGCCCAACCCCGGGACUGCUCUUGGAACCGCGUGGCUAGGGUGCAGGAGGGGCAG